GAUGAACGCUGGCGGCGUGCCUAAUACAUGCAAGUCGAGCGAACAGACGAGGAGCUUGCUCCUCUGACGUUAGCGGCGGACGGGUGAGUAACACGUGGAUAACCUACCUAUAAGACUGGGAUAACUUCGGGAAACCGGAGCUAAUACCGGAUAAUAUAUUGAACCGCAUGGUUCAAUAGUGAAAGACGGUUUUGCUGUCACUUAUAGAUGGAUCCGCGCCGCAUUAGCUAGUUGGUAAGGUAACGGCUUACCAAGGCAACGAUGCGUAGCCGACCUGAGAGGGUGCUCCGCCCCGCUGGCACGUGGACACGGUCCAGACUCCUACGGGAGGCAGCAGUAGGGAAUCUUCCGCAAUGGGCGAAAGCCUGACGGAGCAACGCCGCGUGAGUGAUGAAGGUCUUCGGAUCGUAAAACUCUGUUAUUAGGGAAGAACAAAUGUGUAAGUAACUAUGCACGUCUUGACGGUACCUAAUCAGAAAGCCCCGGCUAACUACGUG
rnacentral:rRNA from 1 species